AAACGCGUUCUCGGCUGACACCGCCUCUGUGGUUCUGGUCUCCACGGAGGAAAAAGAUACGCUAGAUCGAAGUAAGAAAAAAGUUUGAGAAGGUGGUAUUUUCUCAGGCGAAACGUCACUAUAGUUGCGAAGUGAAUGAUGGAUGAAGGUGAAUGCAUGGACGAGAUUUGAAGGCAUUGGAGCUGUAUCGUACCGCGACUCACUAUUGAAGAGGAAGGAGAGCUUCUCCGAUUCAUCUCUGGACGACGGUGAAGAGGUAGACAUAUGUUUUGAGUCAAUUCCGAAUCCAAGCGAAAGUAUUACAGUUGACCGUAUGAACUUACUUUGCCCCAACUUCAUUCUCGAUCUGAAAGAAAGAAAACGACCAGCUAAGCCUUUCCAUUUAACACUGAUUGUCAAAUCGAUGGGUAAAACCAUAAGUCUGCGAUUGUUAAAGCCACGAAUUGAGCAAUUAUAGAGCAAGAAGGGCAGUGUUCAAGUGGUCGAUAUAGAAGGUGAUUUUUUCCUUGUGGAAUUUGAAGAUGCAAAGUACUAUAAUACGGCCCUCACUGGAGGUCCUUGGGUGAUUCUUGAUAGCUAUUUGGUGGUGAUUCGUUGGAAGCCAAACUUCAACCCGAUGGAAGAGGUCAUCUCAAAGCUUAUUGUCUGCGUGUGGAUUGGUUGAGGAGUCCUGCUUGCAUGCAUUGAGGGAUUGUUCUUAUGCACAUAGUGUGUGGGAGUAGCUAAUACGAGAUAUGCAUUUUUUUAUUUUUUAUUUAAAUUUGUAUAAAUGGUUUCAAAAGAAUUUCAAUAGUAGUUCAAUAAGGAAAACGUGUAAUUGGCAUUUGAUAUUUGGGGUGGCUGUAUGGUUUAUGUGGUCUUGGAUGAAUAAAAUGAUGUUUGAUCCUAA